AUGCCCGAGAGCAUUAUUGAUGGUUAUUUUGUUAUGCCUAUUGCUUACUGUGAUGAUUAUGAUUGGGUAGAUAAUGAUACUUAUAAUCUUGGAAAACUUUUUAGCAUCAACUUGGGAAAUUAUGAUGAUAGCAACUGUUAUACCGUUGGUGCUAUUCAUACUAUUAAUGAUGAGAGUGAUUAUGCUUAUGAUAUGCCAAGCCACAAACUUGGGGAUGCUAUGUUUGAUGAUAAUGACAUGUUUAAGAAUUUAUUUGCUGCAAUUAAUGUUUGUCCUAAUCUUGGGGAGGCUAUGCUUAAUGAAGAUGAUCUUCUUAGUCCCCUUACUUUGAAUGAUCAAAUUUGCUAUGAUGAUUGCAUGCCUCCCACUUAG
rnacentral:rRNA from 1 species